rnacentral:rRNA from 1 species
UACAGAGGGUGCGAGCGUUGUUCGGAAUUAUUGGGCGUAAAGGGCGCGUAGGCGGUGCGGUAAGUCACCUGUGAAAUCUCCUGGCUCAACUGGGAGCUUGCAGGCGAAACUGCCGUGCUGGAGUGUGGCAGAGGGGGGUGGAAUUCCGCGUGUAGCAGUGAAAUGCGUAGAGAUGCGGAGGAACACCGAUGGCGAAGGCAGCCCCCUGGGCUAACACUGACGCUCAGGCACGAAAGCGUGGGGAGCAAACAGG